ensembl:misc_RNA 7SK 7SK RNA
GUUAGUUGGUGUCAUCUUUGUAGAUCUACAUCUGUCACCCCACUGAUCGCCAGGGUUGAUUGGGAUGAUCUGGCUAGCUAGGCGGGUGUCCCCUUCUUCCCUCACUGUUCCAUGUGCAGCCCUCCCAAAGCUGCACGCUAGGUCAAAGAAGACGACCUUCCCUGAAAGAGGAGGACCGGUCUUCGGUCAAGGGUAUACAAGUAGCUGCGCUCCCCUGCUAGAACCUCCAAACAAGCUCUCAGCUUUCAGCCUGAUUUCUUAUAGUACCCAGUAACACCAGCCCAGGAAAACCCCCUACAGGCUUGCCUGCAUCCUAAUCAUAUGGAGGCAUUUUCU